GUGCAGACACCUUCCUGGAGCAAACGAUCUCUGAUCUCCCACGCAAAGAUAGAGGGGCAUUCGCUUUUGUAAAGGGAAAUCUUGCUUACGACUUCUGCUGUGGCUACGCGCGGUUUACUGCCACCGAUUGCCCUGGGCCUGAUGGAUCCGGUUUCAUAGUACCUGCACUCCCAAGAAUCUUCGAGACGCAGCCAUUGCUAACUUGCAAAAUCCUAGAAAUGUCACAAGGUCGUGCGCCCGAAUGCGCUAGCUCGACGAUCUUUUGCCUCGUCGAGUCUGGAAGCGGCCUACCGCCGACGAAAACACCUCCGAGCUGAUUGACGC
rnacentral:misc_RNA from 1 species